UCUUGCCGGUCUGAAAGCACUCCGACCUUCGCAUUCACAUGAAGAAUAAAAGAAUUAAAUUAAAAAAAAAGCAAACUUAUUGGAGGCUAUCUUUAUUAGAUUUCAACUAGUUCUCCGGUACACACCCGAGAGGGUUCGGGCAGUUCCAGGGAGAGGAGGGGAGGCCGCAGCAGCUGCAGCAGCCGCAGCGGCAGGCGAGGAGGAAGGCAUUGGUGAGUUCCGGCCCAGAUAGCGUCGCCAAGGAGGAUCCUUCCCCCAAAAAAAGGUUCAUAUGGGGCAGUCUACAAAGCUAGAGAUUUAAAGACUUCAGAGCUUGUUGCUGUCAAAUUCAUGUCAUUGACUGAAGGGUUGAAGGAUAUCGGGGUUUGAUUGUGCUAGAAUUUGUGAACAUGGCCUUGGAAAAUUAAAGCAUUUCUAUAGUUUGUGCCCUUGAAGAAUUCUAGAGCCUUAAACUGUGGACAUUGCAGGGAAGAGGGAUACGAAGAAAUCCGAGGUGAUUUUGGGAUGCUGCAGCAGUGUAGUCAUCCCAAUGCAGUUCGCUACUUUGGAAGCUAUCAACGAGAGGAGUACCUUUGGGUAUGAUUAUACAUUUUGACAUAUGUUGCAGACUCUUUAAAUCUGACAUGGAUAUUUUACCUUCUUUUAUAGUUUGUGUGACAUCUAUGAGAAUGUGCAACCUGAAUUAUUCGACUUAUCCUAUCAAAUCACUUAUGCCAUGUUGUCGUAGUGGCCUUUCUUUUUACAUGGUUCAUUGUAUUCUCUUAUAGAAUAAAUCUAGUUCUUCAAAUGCUAGAGUCUUGGAUUGACAAAAAAAAUAGUAUAUAAGAACUUAAUUCAUGCAUGUUUUCACUAUACAUAUAUAAAUCCUAGUUUAUAUUCUUCCAUGCUGCUGCCUUGGUCACAACGUUAUUUACAAAAAAAUACAUUAGAACACAUUUUUUGCAUGUAUGUCUAUAUAAUGUCGUGAAUGUAUAGAUCUAGAUGUAUAAAAUUGUGAUCAGGAUGGAAACAUCCAGCGUUUUUGGAUGUGAAUCAUCCCCGCCAUGAGCGAGAUUUUGGUGCCACCUUUAGUCCAUUCAUAAAUUUCCGGUAAAAAAGUGAUACCCUUUUAUUAAGAAAAUAAUCGAUAUCUAUAUAACAAACUCUGAACAGCAUAAGACAUUAUGAUCUGAAUGCUGUGUCAAAUGAUUUUGUUUCAAUAAAAGCCUUGAAACUAUUCUAGUUUAUUUACAUUUUAAGUAUCAAAAUUUCUCAAGGAAAUAUAUGUUUUUAGGAUUUUUUUCCUUAUUGUGAUAUGCAAGAUUUCUCUAGAAAUGUAAAUUCAAUGUUAAGAUUCUCAACAGAUACAAAAUCAAUUUAUAUGAGAACCAUUUGCUUUAAUUAGUUCAAAGGUAUGUCAUAUUGUACCGAACCAGACGGUACGAGGUGAACCGUACUGUACUGGUACCAAAUAGAUAAGCGAUACGGGGGAUGUACUGAUACUCGGUAUGCCGAAUCAGCACCCGUAUCAGGCGGCUGAUACUGUAACAAGAUGGCACUGGUAUGGAGCCUGGUACUGAGAUAGCAUAACUAGGUCCAAAAACAUACUUAUGCAUGUGCAUUCUAUUCCCACAUUUUAUACAGUAUUAUAGAUUUUUUCCUCCCAGAAAAUUUAUUGACUUGGAAACCAAGUUUUACCCUGGUCUUAAACAAAAGAGGCAUAUUUUUUGGACUUGGUAAUCAUGAAUACUUUUCAGUUGUCCCAUAGUAUGGCAAGAUUAAAAAGAGAAUUUUUAUUAAAAAGUCAAAGAAAAAUACUUCUCCUGGUUCACUCAGUGUAGAUAAUGGGCUUUGUUUGAUGUAAUGAAGGUGGCAUUUUGUUAUUUCGCUGCAAAAUUGAAGCAAGAGCUCGGGCUGAAUGGAGUGGGUUGACAAUGUAUGUCACAUGUUUGUGAACAAAUUUUCUCCUACCUCUGGUUUCAGCUGAAAUGGCCAAACUUUGGAAAAAUUCAGAUCACACUGAACUAUGAUUUCAACAAAUCAUUGGAACAGGACAGUAUGACCGAUAUCGUACUAUUUUCACACCGUCCUAUUUCAGUGCGAAACUAGCCUCGAUAUGGGUGUUGAGGCAUUAAAACAGCUAUACUAGUUGUACAGAUGUUUUUUCAAUUUUUUCAAUACAUACCGUGAGAGAUCCCAAACUUUUGGCCCUUUUGAUUGGGUGGGACCAAGCUAUGGUAUCGUGGACCAUCAAAUGUUUCCCUCAGCUGUAUUUUGGCUGGGCGUCGAAAUCUAGCAACACGAGGGGAAAAAAAGAAAGAGAGAGAGGAAGAAAUUUCAGGCAGAUUUUUCGGCAUGGAAUGCCCAUUCGUGCAGGAUGGCAAGUGCUGACUGGCCAUCUUGGCUGCGCACCGUAAUCGUUGAAAUCCCGAGCGUGUGUGAGAACCUUGGUGGCUGCGCGUGAUUGCCGGAAACAAACAGAUUUCUCCCUAUUUCUUUUCCUUGAGCUCAACCAUCACCCAACCUGCUUCUCUUCUUCUUCUUCUCUCUUUCCCUGCCUUCGCCGUCGCUGGUAGCCAUGACCAAGGCUCACCGGCACCUAUGAUCAAGUCGCUAACCAAAGACCUUCCACCUCUCUUGUUUCAAAGGUGAGUCGCCAGAUCCCAUCCCUUCUCCAACCUAUUUUAUUCAUAUCUCACCAAAUAUAAGCUAAGAUUCAUUUUUAGAGAAAGCUACUCAAAGAACUCUACUCUUCCAACAUGAUUUGAUAUGUUCUUUAUUCUGAAACUGGAACACUUGUAGCCUCUCAUUUCGAUGACUUUUUGGGUUCAGAUUUUGGGCAACAUGAGGUUUAGUAGGCUCUUUUCAUGGGGAUCAUUUUAUUGCUCACCAAAUGUUUGAUAGGAUUCCUCAACUGGAUGUUGUCUCAAAAUGCAGUAAUUGUUGUUUUUGUUAUUCAAAAGAAAAAAAGAUCCUAUCCCUUGCUUGAUUCUUUCUCUCUCUAUCUCUUCAGGGAUGUUGAUCUGCCAACGUUGGUAGGAUCCUAUUUCUAGAUUGGCAGCCCAAACUCAUCAAAUGCCCCUAUUUGACCUUCUUCGAUUUUUGAUCCAUCACAAUCUUGGCCUCUUUCCUUGAACCACUAGAGUUCUGGUGGCAUUGCCACAGUCGACCAUCCAAGAUAAACAACCUUGACAUUUUGAUCUAUGUUUAUUUCUCUAAUAUGGACACUAGACUCAUUUUUCAAAGUGGAGAUCAUUGUUAGGCAACUUGAUUGUAAUAGCUAUAUGAAUUUUUGCCUAUAUAUGUCCAAUUAUAAUCUCUUUUGUUUCAUAAAGCUAAUUUUUGCAUGCCUAAGUCUAUGGCUCAGGUAAUUGGCUCGUUUCUGCCUUCGAUCAUGUGAUAUCUUAUAGUUACAUUGAAAAGCCAUUGUUUCUCCUUUUCUCUUUUGAUCUCGCCUGAUCAUUUCUGAUUAUGUUGGAUUAUAUGUUGGAUUCAAUUGAUGCUAAACAUCAAACUACUUUGAUCGUUGUAGUGUCUGUGACUUGUCUUUAUUUGAUCGUCUCUUGAUUGCUUUUGGCACAUGUGUUUUCCUUGAGUUUGAUAGCGAUGACAUUUUAAAUUGGAUAUAUGCAGUAAGGUCAUCUGUAGCUAGUCAAAAUAAAUGUUUCUUUCGCUAGUCCAUGUUAUAUAUCCCACACAACUCAUUUAAGCAUAUUCAAAAUUUCAUGGUUCUGUCAAGGCAUGUGGACAUAUGAUCUUAGAAAGAAUAUGGCUACAUUGGUAUUAUCAUAGCCUUGAUGCAAAAAUAAGCUAGCACAACAUCCAUGCAUGUAUGCUUUUAUAAUAUCAUAAUGAAAUACAAUGACAAAUUAGCAAAUAGUGGUAUUAUGCUCAGUUGUAUUUGAUCAAAAAGUCCUUCAUUCCAAUAUAUCUUUUUCCCAUUUUAACUACUUUCUGGUUUGAAGUCAAAUCCUCUAUUGGUGGUCAAUGUUUGGAUGAUUUUUUUUAUCCUUCAUUAUGACCCUUCUACUGGUAAAUCAUCAUCUAGCCGCAACCUCGCGCCUAAACUCUAUUCAUUUUUAACCGGGCUUCGGGCCGGGCUUAUGUAAAAUUUGAUAAUUGUUAUGCUCAAGCCCGGCCUCUGAUCAGCUAUGCCUAGCACAAAUCUUAUUAAUUUCAAAAUACUGAUCAAUUUCAAGCAUGAAAUUAUGAAUUAUAUUGGACAUGAUUGGUCUUAUAUUUUUUAAAAAAUUUAGGAUCAAGCAUAUGAUUGUGAAUGAUCCUUGUUUUAGGCCAAAUAGCAUUGUCACUAAAUACUUUUCUGUGAAUGAUUGGCAUAUGAAUUAUGAUUAUGAAAAAUAGCAUGUUACCAUGGAAAUGAUAUAUAUGACAUCAAUGUACAUUUUAAAAUUUUAUGAUGCCAUUUAGCAUUUUGCAACCAUUUAUAUAGAUAUGAUUUAUGAAAAAUAUAAAAUAUUUUACAAGCUCUCAGAUAGCUAUGGCUGCUCCUAGAAAUGGAGGUCAACGAAAAUGACCCUCUACCAACAGGUUAAAGUUGGUAACGAAAAUGCACCAUGUAUCUUGUCGAUUAUGAAAAUGGCUCUGUCACCGGUUAUAGUGACCGUAGCAUAAAAUAUCUAUGAGCAUUGUUUUAAAAGAUGAUGUGGCUCAAUGGCAAUUGUAUUGUGACCUUACCAUUCCAAUGGAAAAAAGGUAUGAGGUUCUGUACCAAUUUUUAAAACCUUGUCCUGAACCAAUUAUGAGGCACAUGUCCAAAUUACUGAAGUUUCUUAGUGAAAUUAUAAACAGUGUGUGAGAUCCUUCUCCUUACAGUACUGUAGCUGAUUCUCAACCAAUGAAGGUGGCAAUUUUGUGCUUGACAUAUUGGAUGAAGAUAUUGGCCCUCGUUCAUCAUCAUAGUUUUUCUUGUGUAGAUUUGCAAGGUGUUUUGUUCCUAUACUCACUUUUUUCAUUCUUGUUGUGGCAUUUGAGUUGCUAUUUAUCAAUUAGCUACAUUCUGCUUGUUUUCCAUGCUUGUUGUGGCAUUUAAGUCUCUUUUAUCUUAGCAAGGUGAUGGGGUGAAAAUAUAGUUAGAAGGAAGUAUGAUAAGAAGGUGAAUAAUUUUGGUAACUACCUUGAAAGAUGAAUUUUUGACGAGCACAAUUAGUUUUUAGUUUCAGUUAGUUAAUUUAUUAUCUUGUACAUAAAGAAUAGAUAAUUCUAAAGAAAACUUCAGUGAAUUAAAUUUCGUCUACUUCGGAACCAUAACUGCAGACAUUUAAAAAUACUCAAACUUCUAGUGUGUUUGGACUUUGAGCAAAUUUUUGGAUACCAGACGUAACAUGGCUGAAACUUAAAACAGGAAAUUUUUUGGAUGUAAGUCUUGUAGUAGUGCUCACAUGCAUAUAUUUGACAAAUAUGUAUCUUCUUAUGCUUCUGUGGAAGAAGUAAACUUGGGUGUUGGAGCACCCAAAAGUUAUGCAAUUUGCCCUGUACCAUUAUUAUAUUUUUACCCAAUAAAUAUUGUUUGAAAUGCCUGAAAGCAAUUGCAUCUCAGUUAUAAAUUAUUAAUUUUUAGUAUAAUUAUUUUUUCAUAAGAUAUCGUAAGAAUUUAUUGGACCAAUGCAGUGCUUGCAACUUUUCUUAUGCAUCUAGAAGAAAAAACAUGGUGGAAUGUUUCCUUUAUCACUUCAUUUUGCCAGAAUUGAAUGAGUGUGAGCAAUUUUCUUGCAUGGCUGAAGCCGUCAAUAGGAUCUUUUCAAUUUUUUGUUACUGUGUCCCGGUUGGACAUCAACUUUAGAUAUGCAACUGACUGGAUUUAUUUCCUGUUUUUUUGUUUUAGCUACUAUGUGUUAAAUAUUUCUAUUGAAGCUGCUUUUAGACUCUUUAUUUCCUAGGAAAAAUUCUGAACUAUGAGAAAAUAUGGUUAUAAUGGGGAUGGAAAAAACUGUAUUUUGUACAUUUUGUUUAAUCUAUUUAACACCUAUUUGGCUAUUUAAUAAUCACUUCACUUUGUGCUUCUGGUUGUGUUAAACUUUGCAUCGAUUUCGUAAUAUUUUUAUAAAUCACAUUAGAUUUGUCAGCUUUUAGAAGUCAGUGCUGAGCUGUUGGUGGAAGGUUGGAAGUUGGCUUUCAUCUAUGUCUUAUCUGAAUUCAGAAGUUUAUCUGAGCAUUAAAUGAGUCUCCAUGUCCCAUUAACUUUAUAGAGAAUUAUUAUAUGUCAUUAAUUUCACAUUUAGGAAGUAUUUUUUUGGCAUCCUUCUGGUUAUCAGUGUACAUAUAGUUUUAAAUUCAAAUUUGGAUUUACAUUUGCUGGCAGACAGUGAUGGAGUAUUGUGGUCAUGGAAGUGUUGCUGACUUGAUGAAUGUUACUGAGCAUUUAAUGAGUCUCCAUGUCCCAUUAACUUUAUAGAUCAUUAUUAUAUGUCAUUAAUUUCACAUUUUGGAAGUACCUUUUUGGCAUCCUUCUGGUUAUCAGUGUACAUAUAGUUUUAAAUUCAAAUUUGGAUUUACAUUUGCUGGGAGACAGUGAUGAAGUAUUGUGGUCGUGUAAGUGUUGCUGACUUGAUGAAUGUUACUGAGGAGCCUUUAGAUGAAUCCUAGAUAGCAUACAUUUGUAGAGAAGCUUUGAAGGUAUUGCAUUUUUCUCAAGUAAUCGUUUUUCCAAAAUGAAAGCCACUAGAAGUUGAAGAGUGUUAAUACUUAAUACCAAAUAAAGAUUUUUCUUAGUAUUAAUAGGGUAGGUACUGGGUAGAGAUCCUUAGUUUUCUUGUUAACAUAGCUCUACAAAGAGAUCGGUUAAUUGCUAUGUAAAUUUAAUCGUACAAGACAAUUUUUAGGGCAAGGACUUUGUCAGCACUUGUACAAUGAACUUGUUAAGGCUUUACCUGGAGUUAAUUAGGUAUCCAUAUUGAAUUAUAGACAUGCCUUGCUUAGCUUCUACUGCUUCAAGUACUGAUAUACAUUUAUAAGGAUGUAUGGAAGGUGAAACAACUAUAACCUUGAAAUGACCCUUUUGGUAUUUCUGCUACUUACAAUAUUCUUAUUUUUGACAAUCUAAUUUGACCAUCUUAAUGUCAUAUAACGCAAAAGGCCUACAUUUUUAUACUAUGAGUAUGUAGUUUUUCUGCACUCCAGGUAUUCUUUGUACCAAAACAUGAGUGUCGCUAUGGCUGCCACGCUAUAUUUGUACCAGCACAUAUAUCAGCCAUUGUCCUUACUAGUGGAUGAUGUGGUGCACACUUACUGGCAACAAAUGUUGUUUUGCUAACCUUGUACUGCAUCACCAUUGUACCUUGAGUGUUUUUUUUAUAAUUUUUUCAUAUAUAUGUGCCUUUGUGCACAUGCGUGCAUAUGCAUGUGCAUGCAUGCAAGUGCAUGUUUUGUGUUGAUUGGGAAGGUCAAUGACCAGUAGAAUCAGACUAUUGGAUUUACUUGAGAUCAGAAGAUCUCUCUUGCACUGUUGUUAGCUAUAAUUCAGCAACAAGAGGCACUCAGAUACCCCAAGUUGAUGUGGAGCUUGUGUUCCUUAUUGCCUUGGUGUUCAUUGUAUAUGAUUUAAUAAUUAAUUCAAGCCUUAGAUUCUUAGUUAUGUCAAUAAAUUUUGUGCGAACAGAAACAAAAAUUAUUGGAUAUUUGAUUUGGGAAGAAAUUGCAAUAGGACUUUCCACUUUGAUGUAUGAACAUUAUACACCGUCUGUUGUGCCGGUUUUGGGCUCCAGAUCGGUUGUCCGGUGGCACAAGUCGGUAUGGCCCCAUGCCGUGCCAUGCUGACACUGUAUUGACACAGUAGAAGAGGCGGAGGAGAGGUAGAAUGGGAGAGAGAAAGAGAGAGAGAGAGAGAGAAGGGGGAGGCCGACAGAGGGCCGGAGAGCCGCCGCGUGGAGGAGGCGGAGGCCGGGGAGUUGCAGAGGAGGGGCUCUGCCUCCGGUCCUCUGUUUCAUUAUGAACGGCCAUAAACUCAUUUUUCUACUACUGCCUUAAUAAAAAUAAUAGCUCUUUAUUAGUCGUGCAUUGAAACUAACAAAAAACUUAAAAGCUAUGCAAGGGUGGCACUAUUUAUGAACUAAAUUUUUUUUACAGCCUGUUUAGCUUUAUUUGUAGAUUUAGAUCCUCCACAGCACACCAGCUAUCAUCAUGGCUAUCAAAUAAUGCAUGUUGUGUAUAAUACCAUAUAUACUCAUCGAUUAUCUUAUUUGAUGGUCAUCCAUCUUUUUGCGGUGAGGACCCGUGCUCUUUAUUCUAUAGAAUCAAGCGGUAUAAGUCCGGAAGAGGGCGUUUCCGAGAAGAAAGUAAUGUGUAGGAAGAGGUUCCCACUUUAUUACUUUUCUUCUAGGAUGCUCUCUCCCCGUCUUAUACUGCCUGAGCUGCGAGAUCAAACCCAAAGAAGCCGUUAAUGUUUUGAAUUCUUGAAAUUAAACAAAUAUAUAAUCCAACAAAUCUAACAGGAGAAAAUAUCGCCGUUACUUAGGAUAUUAAAGUAGUAACGAGGAAAAAGCUACUAUUUUAUCGUGAAUAUAUCUCCGAGAGUCUCGUGAUAUCAUCGCGUGAAUAACAGUAAAGAGCUUUGCUUUGGAGAAACCUAUCUUUUUUCGCUAAAGAGAGCAAAAGCUAACGUAACAAAAAGGACAAAAACUGAGCGACGAUUCGAUGGACUCAUCUCCAAAAGAGGACAAGAGGAAGGACUUUGUCCAAAAUAGAACCAUUUCAUUUUUGCAGAAUGGUUCGCAACUGCAUCCGUUCGAUGGGCAUCGAAGGGUGGAUCUAAUAUUUCCAAAAAAAACAUUUUCUUUUUUAGAGAAUUACAUUUUCUUUAAGAUGAUCACUUUCCCUAUUUAUCUCUUUGAUUUUUUUUCCUAAGUUGGGGGAUAAGCGAGGAAGGGGAUGGGAGGAACGACCAGACGGAGGAGUACAACUGAAGUACUCUCAAACUCGAAAUGACAAUGGGCAAUGAUCAGAAGUAAUGGUGAUUUUUUUUUAAAUAAAAAAAAUUAAGUGAAAUCGGCAAUGCGUUUGCCGACUUUAACUUAAAAUUUGUAACAAUAAAAUAGGCCCCCUCCGGGCCUCUGUUUUAAAUGAAAUAGGGAACCGAAGGCGGAGCCCCUCCUCCGCCUCCUCCGUGCGGCAGCCCUCUGGCCUCUGCCGGCCAACAUCUCUCUCUUCCUUCCUUUCUCUCUCCCUUCCUUCUCUGCUUUCUCUCUUUUCCUCUUUUUCCUUCUUCUCCCCUUCCGUCAUCAGUCUCAGUUUCAUUGCCGGAACCGUUCCGGUCCACCACCGGUACAGCUCAGGACGUCCUGAACCAGGCGGUUCGGGACGGUUCCGUCGAUCAUGGUAUACACCAAGUGAUUAUAAAGUAGUCACUAUCCAGUGAUUUUGUAUUAGCCCUAUGAUACUUGCAAUCUCUGGUACUUCUUUAGAAAGUUAACCCUAUGAUACUUUUUAAAGUAGUCAAUAUCCAGUGAUUUUGUAUUAGCACAGUAUUGGAGAUCACACAGUUGAUUUAUAUACUAUGUAUUACUUGCAUAUGGGUACUUACACAUGCAAAUUUAUAACUAAAGAUUUAAGAUGUAUUAAAUAAACUUAAUCGGUCUGGAUAACUUUGGAAAGAGAAGUUAAAGACGAGUAGAGAAAACUGGAAAACAUAGUUAAGCAAGUGGACAUAAUUUUUCUACUAUUUGCACUAAUAUGUCGCCGCAAGAAUCUUUUUUUUUCUUUAAAUAUUCUUAUAAAAACCAAAACCAAAUCUGGUAUAAAACUUGGUGGACCCAUGAGCCGAGUCCACCCCCUUCCUGCUCUACAUCCCCGCUCCCCCGAGUCCACCCCCUUCCUCCUCUACAUCCCCGCGCGCCCAACGCAAACCACAAAGCUCCCUCCUUUUUUUCCCUCGAAUAUAUUAUAGAUAUAUGUUUAGCAAUGCAAGAAUCUUAUCUUCUCUCUGAUAAAGAGCAGACAACUAAAUUUUAAAUUUUUGUCAACUAGGCGUGCAUCGCAACUAGCACUAACAUACGGUUCAUUCAAAAGCUUUGAUUGUUUAUAUAUUAAACCUGUGAAU